AAAGAUAGAGGAGCGCAAAGCAAGAGUAACCUGUGGAGCGGGGGCUUAGAAGCAGGCAAAAGGGUUAGCGCCGAAGUUUAUCAGCAGCCAUGCUGAUAUGCUGGGCUGUCAGUGAAUAAUUGACGGACUGUCGCUGCAGCAGGCAGCGGAGUGCUAUCU
rnacentral:ncRNA from 1 species